AAAUUGAAGAGUUUGAUCAUGGCUCAGAUUGAACGCUGGCGGCAGGCUUAACACAUGCAAGUCGAACGGUAACAGGAAGCAGCUUGCUGCUUUGCUGACGAGUGGCGGACGGGUGAGUAAUGUCUGGGAAACUGCCUGAUGGAGGGGGAUAACUACUGGAAACGGUGGCUAAUACCGCAUAACGUCGCAAGACCAA
rnacentral:rRNA from 1 species